CCGGUCUCCGUAGGGAACUUCUCCAAAUCUCUUGUAAAGUUUGAUGCCAGUGAAUGCAACAUCAAAGGAAAGAUUCCAAAUGAAGUUGGAAACUUAAGCAGCUUGUUAGACCUUCAUCUUUCUGAUAAUAACUUCAUUGGAUCAAUUCCUACAUCAAUUGGCAACUUGAGAAACAUUCAGUACUUCAACUUGAACCACAACAAUCUUACAGGAUUUAUUGGAGAUAACAUUUGUAAAUUGCAGUAUUUGAGUGAAAUUUACUUGGGACAAAAUCAACUUUCAGGAUCUCUUCCUAAUUGUUUAGGGAAUGUUACUUCCCUUAGAUGGAUAUAUCUUGCUUCCAAUAAAUUGAGUUCCAAUUUACCAACAAGCUUAGGAAAUCUUAAAGAUUUACUAGUUCUUGACUUAUCAUCAAACAACAUGGUUGGCUCUUUACCUCCGGAAAUUGGAUAUCUAAAGGCUGCAAUAUAUAUGAAUCUGUCAAUGAAUCAAUUCACAAAUGGAAUUCCUACAGAAAUUGGAGGAUUGCAAAAUCUGGAGCACCUUUAUUUGAGACACAACAAGUUGCAAGGAUCAAUACCUGACUCAAUGAACAACAUGGUAAGUUUGGAAUACCUAGACAUUUCUCAUAAUAAUAUAUCGGGAACUAUUCCCAUGUCUUUGGAGAAACUACAAUACCUCGAGUAUUUCAAUGUUUCUGACAACAAAUUGUAUGGUGAAAUACCCUCGGGGGGUCCUUUCAAGAACCUCUCCAGUCUGUUUUUCAUCAACAAUGAAGCAUUGUGUGGUUUGUCAAGGUUUAAUGUCCCACCAUGCCCCACAUCAUC
rnacentral:lncRNA from 1 species